GCAGAGGCCACCUCUGUCAGGCUGGGGUUGCAUGGGCUGGAGGCUGUCUUCCCAUACCUGGGACAUGACCUCCAAGGACCAGCUGUCAGUCAUGGUGAUGGGCUGGCUGGGGUUGGCAGGGAGCUUGCUCUCCUUCUCGGAGGGCCGGAGCAGCGUGGGGCCAAACACCGUGCCAAGGUUGUGCAGGGACAUCUUAUUGACUGCCUCCUUCUCUGCCAUCCUGUAGAGGACCGAAGCAGAGGGUGCUGUUUCAACGCCACCACCAGGAGAGAGGCAGAGGGGCUGUGCCGUGCUAGAGUCCUCAGGGAGGGAGUGACCUCGACCCUGGCUGUGCUGCAAGCUGACUCCAGCCUUGGGGUCAGCAGCACCCGGCAAACAGCAGCAGGAGGAGCCGCUAGAGCAGCUGCUCAUGGGCAGAGCUGCCCUCGGGCAACUCCUGCCACCACCCCCUCCCCAGGGAGCCCAAGGCAGGGGAGGCUCAGCAUGGAAUGAAACAGGGGAGUGAGGGACACAAGGAGGUGGGAAGUGGGAGGGUCCCAGCCCCACCAAGUACGCAGAGAACCCCUCGUUGUCCUGGACACCACAGGGGCACCUGCAGGCUGGGAGACCAGGUCCUCUGUGCAUGGGCCCGGGAGGCAGACCUGCCCUAAGGGUGAUGCACAGGCUACAGGUGCUGCACGCUCCAGCGCCCACUCUAGACAUCAGCCUCCAGGUUGACUAAGGGUCAGGUCAUGUUUGAAACCAUGCUUGGCUGGACCAGGACCCAUGGCAAGAGCACCUGGGCACCAGUGUUUAGCCCUGGUCUGCAGGAAGGAGGACAGCAGACUUUAGGACCCCACAGCACGGCAGUGCUGACCAUUUCACCCACUUGGCCUCCUUGAGAAAUAUGGAUGGGGACCCCUCUGGGGAUGGGCAAGGCCUUCCAGGAUAGGCUCAGUUUUGGUCCCCUGCUUUUUGAGGUUGGGUUAAAAUUCCGACCAUGGCAGAGGAAGCACAGCUCAGGUUCCCACACCUCACUUUUCACAGCCUCUGAGGGCAGCAGUGCACGUGGAGGAGACGUCUCCCAUGAGGCCAAGGCCUCCAGUGCUCACCGAUGCCCUCUGCGAAGUUGGGGUAGAACUCGUCAGUGAAGAGGGGCUCGGGCAGCUCACGGAAAUACAGCUUCAGCGUGCCUGCGAUGGCGUUCACGUCCAUCUCGCUCAUCAUCACCGACACGUCCUUGUUAUCUGGAAAGAGCACGGAAAUGCAGCGGCCUCCUUGAAGAUCCUGAUAAAUGAAGAAAAGACACAGAGAAGGAUGUGACAUGCCUGGGCCGUGGAGCACUCUGAGAUCUCAUCGCGGACACCACUGCCCACACCUCCAUCCCGUCCUGCGCAGGCCGACACUCACUGACGUUGAAGGCUGCCUUCAGUGCCUGGAUGUCUGCGGCCACCCCAGACAUGCGGUAGAUGCCCACCUCCUCCAUGCCUCGGCGCUCGAUCUCCUCCACGCACUGGCGCACGAUGUAGGGCACCUUGGACCUCUCUCUCCUGCGGGAGGAGGGAAUGUUCUCAGUGUCCUAACAGCCCUGCUUGGGCCAUAACACAGGAGACCUGCUCCCUAUGUGCACACCCGGAGGUGGGGUGAGGACGGUGAUGAAGGUACCCAGGUCUGGGGCUGCACACAGAGCCUUCUGCAUGCCUGUCCUCCCUCUGCAAGCUCUGUCCUCAUUGCAUGUGCUUUCUCAGGAACCUUUCAAGCGGCCAGAACCCCUGCAAAUCACACAUGACCUUUGUGGGAAGGUCAGGAGGCCUGUCUAAGUCAAGUCAGCACGGGAAGGGCAUCUGACAGAUUCCAGGCCUGGGGUGAGCAGCCUGUGCCCCCGGCUGGGAGGUCAGACCCGGUGUUGGUCCUGCCACCCACGUGCUGUGUGAGAGGAGAAUCCGUGACCCCUGCCCUGGGCCUUAACACACAUCCGACGAAUGAAUGAAGGGUUGCCUCAGCACCGGUGCUCCAAGUCCUGCGAUGCUAAGUGCUUUUCUCCUCUGAGUCUUAGCAAUGGACAAUUCCAAUACCUCCACACAGGACACUAGAGUAAGAAUCCUUCACAGUUAGAACGCAGUGCUGUGCGGAGGCCUUAACUUGAGUUCUGUUUUGCACCUGGAUUUACCAGCACAUCAAAGCUGCUUCGCAAGCCCCCUCAUCAGCAGGGCUCAUGUGGGGGAGCUGCUGAUGGAGUCCUCGCUGCUCAUGCCCACAGCCCUCCCAGAGUGCUAUGCGAGUGGCUGCCGUGCAGUUGGGGGUGGGGCGUGGUGUUUAGACACAGAUAGGAGUCCAGGGUAUGACUGAUGGAGGCCCCGGCCCACGUGACCAGCAAGGUCAGAGGCCCAGCCAGAUUCCAUCCUGAGGAAGCAAAUGAAUUCUCAGAGGAAGUGGUCUGUGUCUGCAUGAACUGCUCUCAAACCAACAAAUAGGCUUCUCUUGGCAACUGACUCGUGACAAAGGGUUCAAGAUUGUUUGAAAAAAAAAAAGGGGGGGGGGGGACAGGGAGGCAGUAGGUCCUGGAAAAGUAAAUUCUUUAUUUUACAAUAAGAAAGUGAUUACAUAUUUUAUUUUUUUUUACAAUGGUGGAAAAUUAGAAGUGAUUGUGAAAAUGAUGUCUACCCGCCUUGCUGAUGAGUAGGAUGUGAUUUGGCUCUUUAGGAAACUGAAUUUGCAGAACUUAAGAAUAUUGAUUUAUAAAGGGCAUGGCCAUUGACCCAGUCCAUCUUAUGCAAAUCUGGAUGCCAUAAAUAAUAUUUAAAAAUGAAAGUAUUGGGGUGGAGGUUGCAGUGAGCGGAGAUCGCCCCACUACACUCCAGCCUGGUCAACAGAGUGAGACUCUGUCUCAAAACAAAAAAAAAAAAAAAAAAAGAAGAAGUCAUUCCCAACAUUGCUCAUCAAAUUAUGACCAUAAAUUUCCAGGAUCAGACUAACGGCUAAAGAGACUGAUGCAUCAACACCAGGCAGAGAAUAAAGCAGAUUUUUUUUGUUUUGUUUUGGAGAGCCUCUAGGAACUUGAAAAAUACAUAUGCCACACUCUUAAGACCCGGUGGUUCUUAAUCAGGGAUGUUCAUUAAAAUGCUGGAAAACUCUAAAGAUUUCCAGGUCCCAUCCAAGGAGAUUUUGCUUCUGAUUGACUGGCUAGUGGCCUGGCCAUUGGUAUUUUGAAAAAUCCCUCCAAGUGAUUCUUUUACAUCCCAGCUAGAAAACCCUAAAUUAAAGGUGAAAAACCAGACACCAAGUGGCAUUUAAAUAAAUGUCAACUUUAACUCCACAAAGCAUCUGGUUGCAUGUGGACAGAAAGAGAAGGAAAGAGGGCCCUAUAUCUGGAUAACUUGGAAAUGUGCUCCCCCUAGCAAGAUAUCUACCAAAAUUAAAACCAUAUUUGAGGAUGCUGGCACUGUGAGCAAUAUAUAAAUGAUGCAUGUAACAUCAUUUAAUAUGAUCUUAUUUUUAAAAAUGAGUAGAGUGGUGUUUUCUAGCUGUUAGUGUUUCCAAAUAUCAAUGUAGAAAUUAGCCUUCUGCAGCUGCAGAGGCAAUUCAGUUUGCAGCUUGCUUGCAUGUGGCCUAGAGCCACCCAGCCUGAUAUGUACUAAUUUUUUAUGUUUAACUUGCCAGAGUAGAAACUCAGUUUCUGGGCGAGGCAUAGUGGCUCAUGCCUGUAAUCCCAGAACUUUGGGAGGCCAAGGCAAGCAGAUCACAAGGUCGGGAGUUCAAGACCAGCCUGGCUGACAUAGUGAAACCCUAUCUUUGCUAAAAAUACAAAAAUUAGCCCGGCAUGGUGGCAGGCACCUGUAGUCCCAGCUACUUGGGAGGCUGAGGCAGGAGAAUCACUUGAACCUGGGAGGCAGAGGUUGUGGUGAACUGAGAUCAUGCCCCUGCACUCCAGCCUGGGCAACAGAGUGAGACUCCAUCUCAAAAAAAAAAAAAAAGAAACUCAGUUUCUGGUUACAUCUGAUCUUUAUUUUUUAUAUAUCAUCUAAGCUAUAAAGUUAUAUUCCCUAUUUGUGAUCUUAAAAGAAGGACUCCAGGAAAGUGUUCAAAUAUUCAUAUAUCUAAACUGGAACAUAUGUUUAUAUUUUUAAAAGUAGCCUGAGAGGUUGGCAACUAAAGUCAUAUGUUGAAUGAUCAUUUCUCAAGAGUUUCAUUUUAUGGUCUUUCUCUUGUUCUGUAAAAUGUGGGCAUGGAUAGAUAUAAAGUGCCUGGUGUCCAUGCUUUUGUGAAAUCCCUUCCUCUUCCAUGUGAAUGGGACCUGUGACUUUCUUCUAACCCAGAGAACACAGCAAAAAUGAUGUGAUUUAUCUGAGUCCAUUGAUGACAUUGAUUACGACUUCCCUUCACCACAUUAUUUAGGACUGCGUCGUAGGAGACUGGGACACAUAUCCACUUUGCUGGCUUGAUGAAGUAAACUGCUAAGUUGAGGAAGCCCACAUGGCAAGGAACUGUGGGCAGCCUUCAGCCAACAGGCAGCAAAAAGCUGAGCUCCUCGGAGCUACAGCCUCAAGGAAGUUACUUCUGCUAACAACCUGAAAAAGCUUGGAAGCUAGUUUCUCUCUAGUGGAAUUUUUAGGGAAGAGCAUGGCCCAGGCAAGAUAAAUAAUGUAAGUGGAAAAACCUGUCAAC
rnacentral:lncRNA from 1 species